AGGGAAGGAGCCCACGCUUCAAGCCGGGACCACAGCUGGGGCUGGGGGGAUCUAAGAAACACCCCCGGGGACGAGUUUCUGAGCAGGGAAGUGGACCGGGAACAGCGCAUUUCCUGCUUCGCCAGUGCAAACCCCAGGCGGGGCCAAGCGGGAACAGGGUUACGGUCGAGGAGUCUCCCGCUGCUAAGGCGGGGUUCGGGGGCGGCCUCAAGGGGUCGCGGACUAGGGAGGAAUGCGGGCAGAGGGAGGGGGAGAGGGCGUGAAAGCAUAACGCACGCCUCCCAUCCUUGUGCGGAACGAGUCCCCAAAGCCCUUCUGGCCGUCGCCCUUUUUCGGCCCCGGCGGGAGAGGCCUGCGCAGCCGAGGGCCAGAGUCGGGCUCCAGGUGCCGGGUCCGAACAGCUCCUACCGUGCGGGGGCCUCCCGGGCCGAGGGCGGGGUGAGGGGGUGCGGCGGAGGGCCGCUAUCUUCUCUGUCACCCCUUCCUCCCCAUCUCUCCUCUCCCGCUUACAACCUUCGACCUAGCAUCCCGGACCUACGGGGGACUGGCCCGGGGACAGGGAGGAGACGCGAAAGGUAUCAAGAGGCGCGGCGACACCGCCCAGUCGGCGCCGGGGCGCGCGGUGCGAAUCGGUGGCGUCGGGCUGCGGCCCUACCUGGAGGUGCGGAGCCCCGGCCGCGCUCCGCCGCCGCACGCCGCCUCCCGCUCGGCUCCCGGGGGCCGUCCAGGCGCGCGAUUUAUAAAUGCAAAGGCCUUAUUGUUGUUCUUUGUCCCAGGGAUACCAUUGUCUAUUUGCCGCCAGGCCGCCCGGCCUUUUCCCUGGGCUUGCGGCGCGCACUCCCCUCCCCGCCCCCACGGACUUGGUCUCCAGAGCAAACCCGGAUCUGUCACUGUCUGGGUGCCCACGGCCUUCCUCAUCGACUUGAGUGUCCUUCGUCCGGCUCCCGCUUCCCGAGCAUCGAAAACACAAAAGCCUGCAGGAAAUCGCCAGACUUUGCCUGGUCAUUCAGGGGCCUGGGGAAAAGCGAGGCUCUGACUCCUCCAGGCCUAAAUCACAUUUCGUCACCUACCCGGGUUAAUUUCUGCGCCCGCUGGCCGAAAACCCCGAGUGGUAACAGGCACAGCUUCUUGCUGCGCUAG
rnacentral:lncRNA from 1 species